rnacentral:lncRNA from 1 species
GCAAGGUGAAGGUGUUUAAACUGUUUAAGCUGUUGGACAAGUGGCACGAAGACACAAUUGGCAACAAUGGGAAAUUUCUACAGCUAUGUCUACAGCUAUUUCUAUGGCGAGGUAAGUUAUUUUUAGUUACGGAAGAAGAUUUAUUUAGUACAACGUAAUAAUAAUUUUAAUCUUUUACAUCAUGACUACCAUGCACUCUAAAAAACAGAGGUACGAUAUGAGUACUUUUUUGUACUCGAAGGUACACUCUUUAUAAUUGUACCCUCAAAGGUAUAAUAUUGGUCUUUACGGGGUCAGAUUUGUUCCCUCUGAAGUACAAAGUCAUUUCUAACAGCAAUAAGUACAAAUUUGUACCAUUUAACCAGCCAAAGGGUACAUUCAGUAUUCUGUAUCACUGUACUAAUGAACAAUAUAUAUUUAAAUUGCACAUUUUUUAUUUGAAAGCCAGACAAUUUUGUAUCAUCAAGUUUUUGAGCCAUAUUUAGUUGAUGAUAAUGUUUAUAAUCUUUAUGAUCUUUACUGCCACAAAAAACAUGGGUACAAAAAAGGACUUUCACUGAAAGGUACUUUUUUGUGCCUCAAUAUAAGGUACAGCCCCAGCGACAAGCUUUGUACUCUUUUAAGUACAAAUCUGUACUUAUAUUUCUUAGAGUGUGAGUAAAUCUAGGUCUAGGUGUAUUUGCUGAGGGAUGAAGAUAUUGGUUAAAUGAAGGAAACUGUUUAAUUCCCCAUAAUGAACAGCAUAAAUGCCUGACGUGUGUCUAUGCUCUUCAGCAAAGUCAAUCAACAGAAGUGACAAAUUUGCAGGAGCAGCCUGCAGAGAGUCCAUCCGAAAACUUAUCUGCAAGUUCUGCAAAUGGGUGCAUUCAGAGUGAAAACAUCUCUGCAGACACACCCUUCUUUCAUAACCACAUUGACGAUGUGGACAAGAGGAACAUUUUUGUGGUCAGUGGUGGAAAAUCUGAAGAAUUUACUGUAUUCCCUGCAGAGAAGAUCUCAGUCUUACUUGAGGAGGCAUGCGCCUGGGCCGGAAAAAAGCCAGAGAAAAUGAAUCUGUUUUUUAAAGGUAAACAAAUAAAAUAUAAGGACCUUUACAUAUCAAUAAAUUCACCAGUUAAGCAGUGCACUACUGUCUAAUGUUAAAUAUUGUCCCUGUUGAACAAAAGAUGUAUCUUCAAAAUGGCAACUAAUGCUAAGAUUGUUUUUGGAACUGAGCCUGGAGGAAGGAAAAAAAUAUCUAGAUUUUAAAAUUGAAGUCAUUGUAAUUUUAGAGCAUUUCUAUUGGAUUGUUUACAUGAAGUUUGACAUGAUAUAGAUUCACAUUUUGUUUAAAAAAAAAAAUAGAUGUUAAGCACAGAUAAACUAUCAUGCAAAAAUCCUGAUACAGUCUGAUACACUUUUGUUAUAAUUAUAUUAUAACAUUUAUUGUUGUUUACCUGCAGGGGAACAGCUGGAUGUGAUGAAAGCCGUGGGUGAGUGUCCCGGCCUACGAAGAGGAAGCAAAGUGCACCUAAUUUUUGCUUCCUAAAGAACUUCACACUUUGUUUUUUUAAUGUACUGAAGUAAAGUGAAGUGCUCUUCAUAGUGGGACAGAAUGCACAGGAGCCUCUCACCCGUGCAAGUCAGCCUUCAGACUCAAUAAUAAGCCCAGUAUGGUGCACAUGUGUACAUUACGCAAUGCUGCUUGUGCUUUAUGUGCUGUCUGUAUUAAAUACCUCUGCUGAUUGGCAGUUGGCAGUUAGAAAUAGAGAAUAUAGGUGAAGUAAUAGAGAGUGAAGGGCAGCACAUAGCAAAUCUCUUAUAAUUAUAAUUUUUAAUUUAGUGAUCAAUCAGAUAUCUGGUUUUCUAGCUAGGUGGGAGUACAUUGUUGACUGACAGGUGGGCAGGAGGCAGUAAAGCUGCUGCGCUCCACUUUAGAGCUCUCAGGGCUUUGGCCUGCACUUGGAUAGCUACUCACUGUCCACUGUCCUUUCUCUCUGUGCUAGCUUCGAUGGGAUCUCUUGAAAUGAGAACUGAGAAAUGUUAUUGUCAUAGUUGUAUGUACAUUACAUUUUAAAUAAUGUUUUAUAAUAAACUUG